rnacentral:rRNA from 1 species
UGGCCGUAAACGAUGUGGACUUGGUGUUGGAAUGGCUCCGAGCUGCUCCAGUGCCGAAGGGAAGCUGUUAAGUCCACCGCCUGGGAAGUACGGUCGCAAGACUGAACUUAAGGAUUGGCGGGGGGAGCACCACAACGCGUGGAGCCUGCGGUUUAAUUGGAUUCAACGCCGGACAUCUCACCAGGGGGCGACAGCAGAAUGAUGGCCAGGUUGAUGACUUUGCUUGACUAGCCGAGAGGUGGUGCAUGGCG